rnacentral:tRNA from 1 species
GCGGAUGUGGCGGAAUUGGCAGACGCGCUAGAUUCAGGUUCUAGUGGUGGCAACACCAUGGGGGUUCAAAUCCCUUCAUCCGCA